AGAAAUAACUUGGCAGAGUCCUUAUAUGUGAACAAUGGGUAGCUGAUUUUGGAGAGUCAGCUGUUUGCUACAGAUGUAGUUUCAUUAGGGAGCUCAGGAUAUUUCAAGGGAAGCAAAACUGGAAAACAAAUUGUGGGAAGUCGAUGCCAAUCUCUGCAGUACUCUUGGAUUUUGUUUAUUUUCAACAGAAUCCAGUACUACCUCAUAUAAGAUGGAUAAAGCAAUCUAAUUCAGAAGUAUUGUCAUGAGGUGUUGAAGCCUUGUUUCACUGAUUGGAAGACUGGACCUAAAUGGCGCAGCAUGACUUUGCUCCAGCCUGGCUUAAUUUUCCUACUCCACCACCAUCAUCAAAGGUUAUUUGUGCUAUUUAUUAAAUUACUAAUGUAGGAAAAUUUCCCUUUCCCUUUCUUUAAUUUACCUUGCAAUGGUAGGCGCUACAGCCAUCUAGAACAGGUUUUCAAGGAAGUAUUGAGGGACUGGAUAAAGAAGGAAAUUUUAACCCAGAUGUUUGGUGCAAUGUGGGAAUUCUGCC
rnacentral:lncRNA from 1 species